UACGUAGGGUGCAAGCGUUGUCCGGAAUUAUUGGGCGUAAAGAGCUCGUAGGCGGUUUGUCGCGUCUGCUGUGAAAUCCCCGGGCUCAACCUGGGACUUGCAGUUGAAACUGGUGAGCUAGAGUAGGGUAGAGGGGUGUGGAAUUCCAGGUGUAGCGGUGAAAUGCGUAGAUAUCUGGAGGAACAUCCAGUGGCGAAGGCGACUUUCUGGGCUGUAACUGACGCUGAGGCGCGAAAGCGUGGGGAGCAAACAGG
rnacentral:rRNA from 1 species